rnacentral:rRNA from 1 species
ACAGCAGCCGCCGCGGUAAUACGUAGGGGGCAAGCGUUAUCCGGAAUAACUGGGCGUAAAGGGUGCGCAGGUGGUUUAACAAGUUAGUGGUGAAAGGCAUAGGCUCAACCAAUGUAAGCCAUUAAAACUGUUUAACUUGAGUGCAGGAGAGGAAAGUGGAAUUCCUAGUGUAGCGGUGAAAUGCGUAGAUAUAUGGAGGAACACCGGUGGCGAAGGCGACUCUCUGGUCUGUAACUGACGCUGAGGAGCGAAAGCGUGGGGAGCGAACAGGAUUAGAUACCCCCGUAGUCCCUGUCUCUUAUCAC